rnacentral:rRNA from 1 species
ACGGAAGGCAGCAGUGGGGAAUAUUGGGCAAUGGGGGAAACCCUGACCCAGCAACGCCGCGUGAAGGAAGAAGGCCCUCGGGUUGUAAACUUCUUUUACCAGGGACGCAAAUGGCGGUACCUGGAGACAAAGCAACGGCUAACAACGUGCCAGCAGCCGCGGUAAUACGUAGGUUGCAAGCGUUGUCCGGAUUUACUGGGUGUAAAGGGCGUGUAGGCGGAACUGCAAGUCAGAUGUGAAAUCCCGGGGCUCAACCCCGGAACUGCAUUUGAAACUGUAGUCCUUGAGUAUCGGAGAGGCAAGCGGAAUUCCUAGUGUAGCGGUGAAAUGCGUAGAUAUUAGGAGGAACACCAGUGGCGAAGGCGGCUUGCUGGACGACAACUGACGCUGAGGCGCGAAAGCGUGGGGAGCAAACAGGAUUAGAUACCCUGGUA